rnacentral:lncRNA from 1 species
UUAGUUGUCAGCCCCAGUUGACUUCCCUCCCCACAUCAAGGAGGACUGCAUCCUGAGCAGUUGACCCUGGAGCCAGCCACACAGCAUGUGGGUACAGAAGGCACCCUUGGCCACAUCCUCCCCACUAAAGCCCUCUGGGAUUUCUUUUGGAGUACCUGAAGGCUUCCUGAAUUGCUCUAAGCGUAUUGCUAUUUUGAGCACCCAGCCCAGUCCUUUUCUCCACCCUCCCAACCUAAACCCAGACAGUUCACCCACUCGUUGCCCCACACCCAGUCCCACUCUCACACUCACUCUGAAGAAGCACCAGUUUCCACAGCAGGACACAGGAUAGCAGUUCCAUGGCGCCUGCGGGGGACGUGCUUUGUCUUACUCAGCUCUAACUCUCCAGAAAAACAGCCGACCCCCUCUCCCUGCCAGCACCCGCUGACAUCACGGAGCCCUGGGCCGGGUCUGUGCCCCGCCCACUGCGCUGCUCGACUGCUUGGCCUCCCCCAUCUUGACUGGCCUAUAAUGCUGCAAACACCCUGUCCGGGCCCAGUUGGUGGGAGGGUCUGAGUAGAGGCUCGGCCAGUCACUGGUCAGUCUUGGGGAGGGGCAGUAGCUCAGUCCUGGGACAGAAGAUGAGGCCUGGAUGUGAAGAUUCCUGAGGCCAUCUGGGUGCCAAGCAUCUGGUAAACUUCCUGAGUUUCA